AAGAACAAGUCAGGGUCACAAUUGGAAGAUCUUACAGAUGGCUUGAAAGAACUUGACAUGGAAAAUUAUGAUGACGAGGAUGAUGGUAUCGAGUUAUUUAGCAAGAGGCUUGGUGACCUUUACUACCCAAGCAAUGAAAUGGUUCCAUAUUUGAAGGAUGAGGAUGAUGAUGAUUCAGAAGAGAUUGAGGACAUGACCAUAAAACCCAUGGAUUCUGUUAUAGUUUGUGCACGCAUUGAAGUUGAUGUCAGCCAUCUUGAGGUUUGGAUAU